rnacentral:sRNA from 1 species
CAGAGUGUCAGGAACUGAGUUUCCUGAUUAAUUCAUAGAGGCAAUACAUUAAGGGGGGUAGCAGUAUAAACAUCCCAGAAUACUCCACUGCUGUGCUUUUACCUUGACAUGCGGGGCCAUCUCUAAGGGUGAGAAUGUUAAUUCACUCUCCAUUCCCAUUCAGUCCUUUGCUGCA